CCCUUAGAUGUUCUGGGCUGCACGCGCGCUACACUGAUACUUUCAGCGAGUCCACCACCUUGCCUGGGAGGGUGGGGUAACCUCUGGAAAGUGCAUCGUGAUGGGGAUCGAUUAUUGUAAUUAUUAAUCUUCAACGAGGAAUUCCUAGUAAGCAUGUGUCAUCAGCCCGUGCUGAUUACGUCCCUGCCCUUUGUACACACCGCCCGUCGCUCCUACCGAUUUCGAGUGGUUCGGUGAACCUUUCGGACCGGCAAUGCCUCGUGUUGCGCCGGAAAGUCAAGUAAACCAUAUCACUUAGAGGAAGGAGAAGUCGUAACA
rnacentral:rRNA from 1 species